GACGAACGCUGGCGGCGUGCUUAACACAUGCAAGUCGAACGGUGAAGCGCCUUCCUUUUUGGUGGGUGUGGAUGAGUGGCGAACGGGUGAGUAACACGUGAGUAACCUGCCCCCCUCUUCUGGAUAACCGCAUGAAAGUGUGGCUAAUACGGGAUAUUCUGGGUCUGUCGCAUGAUGGGUCUGGGAAAGAUAUUGUUUCGGUGGGGGAUGGGCUCGCGGCCUAUCAGCUUGUUGGUGGGGUGAUGGCCUACCAAGGCGGUGACGGGUAGCCGGCCUGGGAGGGUGGACGGUCACACUGGGACUGAGACACGGCCCAGACUCCUACGGGAGGCAGCAGUGGGGAAUAUUGCACAAUGGGCGAAAGCCUGAUGCAGCGACGCCGCGUGAGGGAUGGAGGCCUUCGGGUUGUGAACCUCUUUCGCCAGUGAAGCAGGCCUGCCUCGUUUGUGGGUGGGUUGACGGUAGCUGGAUAAGAAGCGCCGGCUAACUACGUG
rnacentral:rRNA from 1 species